rnacentral:lncRNA from 1 species
AAUGUCCUAUAAAAGCAGUAGUUCAGGAUUCUGUAAUCCAGUGUUUGGUGAGUUUAUAUACGAAUGCUACUACCACUGUAGGAACAGUGAGUGUAUUUAUUUAGCAGAAAUCAGAUGACUUAUAAACAUGAAAAACUGAGUAAUAAAAGAGUAAAUACUUUCAAAAGGAAUCAUGAAAACUUUUAUCAGUUUCAUUACCAGAAAUAAUAUUUCUCACUGUCUCAAUGGAAAAUAUGUAUUCAUUUUCCCCUCUUCAUUCAUUUAAUACCAUUCAUUUCUUAAAAGUGAGCUUUCAGAAACAGUUUGCAUGUUGGCUUGCAUAUGUUUAUUUGUCUGUGUCUGUGUUUUCUACUUGUCUGCAUCUUGACAAUUUAAUUUUGCAUACAAAUUUUUCAGUGAAUCUGAAUUUCAUUCGUUUCAUUCCAAUGAUAUUUACAUUGUAUUUUGUUUUUAUUUUACAGAUGUACUUCAGAAAAAAUAUGAUGAUCCUCAAAAGAAAUUCGGUAAG